UACGAAGGGGGCUAGCGUUGUUCGGAAUCACUGGGCGUAAAGCGCACGUAGGCGGAUCGUUAAGUCGGGGGUGAAAUCCUGAGGCUCAACCUCAGAACUGCCUUCGAUACUGGCGAUCUCGAGUCCGGAAGAGGUUGGUGGAACAGCUAGUGUAGAGGUGAAAUUCGUAGAUAUCAAGAGGAACACCUGCGGCGAAGGCGGGUUGCUGGGCCGACACUGACGCUGAGGCGCGAAAGCUAGGGGAGCGAACGGG
rnacentral:rRNA from 1 species